GACGGGCCCGCACAAGCAGCGGAGCGUGUGGUUAAUUCGAUGUUACACGAAGGACCUUACCAGGGUUUGACAUGCAAGUGGUAGGAAGCCGAAAGGUGACCGACCCUUCGGGGAGCUUGCACAGGUGCUGCAUGGCUGUCGUCAGCUCGUGUCGUGAGAUGUUCGGUUAAGUCCGCUAACGAGCGCAACCCUCGCUGUGUGUUAUAUGUGUCACACGGGACUGCCGGUCUUAAGCCGGAGGAAGGUGGGGAUGAUGUCAAGUCAGCAUGGCCUUUAUAUCCUGGGCUACACACACGCUACAAUGGCCAACACAAUAGGUUGCUAAGCCGCGAGGUGGCGCCAAUCCAUAAAGUUGGUCUCAGUUCAGAUUGUAGGCUGCAACCCGCCUGCAUGAAGAUGGAGUUGCUAGUAACCGCAGGUCAGCUAUACUGCGGUGAAUACGUUCCCGGGGCUU
rnacentral:rRNA from 1 species